GCCAAAUGAUGUUGUUUUGUCAGAGGAGCACAACAGUGCGAGGACGACUCUUAAUCUAUCACCCAUGACUGAUGGCU
ensembl:snoRNA SNORD83 Small nucleolar RNA SNORD83